rnacentral:miRNA from 1 species
UAUACCGUGCCCAUGACUGUAG